CGGCCACCUGGGCGGGGCGCAGCAGCCGGUCGCCGACCCGGUAGCCCAGCCGGAGCACCUCGGUGCAGGUCGCCUGUUCCAGCCGGUCGGUGGGGGU
rnacentral:tRNA from 2 species